AUAUCUUCUCUUCAAAUUAUUCUUUUUAUAUCUUCACUUCAAAUUAUUCUUUUUCUUCGCAUCCACUUUGCCUGUACUUUUGCUUGUGCUCUUCUUGCUUUUCAUUUUUCCCAAUAUACUUCAGUCUUCAUCUCCAUUCUAAACUUUUCCUUUUGAACCUUAAUUACACAUCACGUUUAUUUAUCUGUAUAUCUUCUCCUCAAAUUAUUCUUUUUACACUUCUGAGAAAAUACUCCUUUAUUACCGAGUACAGAAGUUGUCGCCACGGAAUUAGAGACCCCCGCAGUCCACUUUAAUCCACGGUAUCGGUCGAACAUGCGAGAUACGUGACGAGGUCAUCGGCUAAUGGGUGGCGAGCAUAAAAAUUAAAAUAGCAAAUUGGCGACACCGGGUUUUGCAUACGCGCAGCGCGCGAACAGCGUGCGCGUGUUCAUACAAAACCGCCGGUUAAUUAAAGUAAUCGAGAUAAUCCGAACAGCCGCGCAAUUAGCGGCCGCGUCCGUCGCGAUAAUGCGAUCUUGGAUGCCGACCUCGAACCCGUUUCAACCAGAGUUAGGCGUGUUUCUCUAACGACAUAGGGGAUGCGUCAAAACUUCGCUCUUGAAUAGUAAUAUUUUAAACAUUUAUUCCUUUUAAACUUUCGCAAAGAUUGCUGGAUUAUCUCGUCUCGAAGUUCUACAAUUUUUGUACACGCGAACACCGUUUGUAUUGGCCAUUACGAGCCACAUUGCAGAAUAAUUUGCAUAAUCGCGUUUCAACGCGCAGGGGGAGGCCCGCGGGUUUUCAUGUUGAAAUGUGUAUCGAGGAUGUUAAUCAGUGUGUAAAACAAAUGUUAUACUUUCGUUUGCGUUUCGUCCGGGAAACAGGUGUUAUAAAAAAUAUACCGUAGCUUCCUCAGCGUUUAAUCGAAGCGAAGGGAAAGGUGCACCGAAAGCAUCUCAUUACUCGAAGCAUUUACAUUGAUGCAAAUUUUGCUCACCUCUGACUCAUUACACGAUAUAUUCUCAUCACUUUUUUCGUGCGGAAUGAGCCCUGCAGAGGUAUAAAUAAUCCUCAGUCUUCAAUUUAUCCAUCUAGACAAGAAUUGUCCUCAUCUCUGUCUUACGUUACAUUUCCAUUAACUCGUGAAGUACGAGUGCAGUCUCUGCGAGGAAAAAUAAAAUUCGAGAUGGAGAUAUAAGUAAUUUUCAAUGUUCAAAUCGAGGAAUAAUUACAAGGCGCAGUAGUCGCCCCGAGAAAACUUUCGAAGGGAGACUUUCCUUCGUCAGGCUUCGUUAUGGAAACGCUGGCACGAUAAAUUACUGAUUAAUCAGUAUUUAAUUACGGAACACGUGUGUUAACGCGAUGUUGGACGAAGGGCACCGGAGGAGUGUCCAGUCACGCUAUGGAAAUUAUGACGUAUUACACGAUUGCCUUUUCAACGUCGCACGCGGCUUGCCCGUGCCGUGACUAAUAAGCAGAUGUAAUGCAAUUUAACACGCAUCGUGUUAACGCUUGUUCGAGCUUCAACGCUCUCGAGACGGAACCAUUCAAACACCCGAGCGAUUUCCUUCGGUCUUUGGACACGCAGGGUCCUUCGAAUCUCGGGAAUCGGCUUCCUGAAUUUUAUUGCGAUUAUACAGCGAGUAACGGAAGUAUUCGAACUGGUAUAUCUACAGAUUAUAGCACGUUAAAUAUACUAGACCGAAAAGUAAUCAAAAUUUUAGCAACAUUUAUUUAUUGAAGAAAUCUUAAGUAGUAAUUAACGAAAUAAUUUCUAUCACUUCUUCAGACUUCUUGCCAACGUAAAGGUAGUUGUUCUCUGUUCAAAAAAGUCUCCGGAUUUUUUAUUGGGACGCGAUCAAUACACCUUCAGAGUAACAAUAAACGAAAUAAGUAUUUAACAACCUCUGACGAUGAUGACGAACAUUUAUUACACAAGAAAAAUCGGCCCAUUUAGUUUGAAUUUGGCUAGAAGUGAAUACGACAUUUUUUCGCCGAAAUACGACAGUUCAAAAUUUUCUGAUCGAUCUAUUAGUUCGAAUGAACGACCGUCUCCAGCGACCGACAAUUUUAUGUUUCCUCGAAAAUAUCCAAAAUCGUUUUACCAUAAUUAACGGAAUCGUUAGCCCUUAACGAAUUCUCAUUUUCGCGAUCAUUCCGUACGAUUUCUGCUCGCGAAUCGUUAACGGAGCAAACCUGCGUUUCUGGCAAGCAUAAGAUCUCUCCGGAACCCGUGGCGGCGUGUUUUACGAGCAUUGCCGGGGUAAACGACACGUGGAUCAUCGUCGUCGUCCCACCUGCUCGCCGCUCGUAUAUUUCCGCAGUAAACUCGUCGCGAGGCGCUGGAAACCUAACGCCGUCGUUUCGUCGGGGACAAGAUAGCCGCGGAUGGACGAAUCGAUAUCUCUUUAUCUCGUGUAAAAGACUGGAUAUGUCGCACCUUUCGUUCGCGAGCCUAAUGACGCCUGACAUGAACCACCCCUGACCAAUUAACUCCGCGAUACAAGAAUUUCGAUAGUUUCGGGGACCUCGUGACAAAAUGAGGACGAUGAAUCACGUUUGGAACGAGCCCUCGAGUCGCGAGGAUUUACGCGACACCUGGAGAAAUUUGAUUGGAAACGAUAUUAAAGGGUGAUCGUUCCAGUCUUUUAUUUCGACGAUUGGAAUAAUCGAGAUAGAGGAGAGUCAGGGAUGGGUGGUUGACGAUUUCUUUGGAAGCUGAACGACAUCUUGUAUUAAACGAAGUCUACGGAAGGGAUUAACUUCUCGAAGGGAUCGCGUCACGCGGCUGUUUAUUUACAAAUCUUAUAUUGGACUAGCUUUCAUCCGGUUCUGAAGUGCCAUGGAAAUAAAGCUUAAUUCGUUGUUUGCUUCGCGACGAGUUUGGCGUCGGCACACGUGCCGUGUCAUGUGACGAGCGAGCGCGACGCGGUGUCAUACGCAAGCACUCAAACGACAAAGGAAAAUUUAAAUUCGAACACCAGCCACGUGAACUCCUUCUCAGUCGAAAUCCUUUUAUAUCGUAUUUAACGCAAAUAUAUCGAGAAACGUCGAAUAGACUGCUGAGGCAUCCUCGAAGUUCGUCGACUUCGGAGAUAUUUAUGAAGAAUGAAUAGGAAGUAAGAAUCGCAGAAUAGUAUGAAAUUUAUCUAUAGGUAUAUAAUUUCAUGAAAGUCUGAUAUGGAAAUGUUUUUCAGAACCUCAAAUGACUCGGACCAUUUUUUAAAUUAUUGUGUAUAAAGAGUGACUAAUAACUUUUUGUAAAUUUUAUUUAAUGAAAACGAAUUAAAGGGAUGUAUCUGUUGAAUUAUGUAGGAAGUAAUAACAUUAAGGUUCAAUUUCUGUUUUUGUAAAGGUUGAACGUGAAACGUGGCAUUUUUAUUUAACAAUGUUUUAUAAUACAUAAUGCAUGUAUAUUUUAAUAUAUUUAUUAGAUAUAAUUCUCUCUUGUUCACAUAUAUUUUUCCAUAAGAAAAAGUACAUGUAAAUUAAAUGUACUGUAGGAAAGAAGAGGAACCAGUCCUGAAAGGAGAAACGGAUCGUCCUGGUCAGACAUUUUGUGUCAGUCUUUCCUAAUCGACACCGUCCACAUUUUCUUUACUCCUUUACUUUAUGAUUUAAGAUUUUAUUUUUUAAUAUUAAAAUACAUACAGUCAACAUAUGUAUACGAUAUUUCGUUUAUGACAAGUUUCACAGAUAUUGAGAUUUCUAAUUGAAAAAUUACUUUUAUCGAAAUAAAAUAUA